GAGGGUGUCCGCCCUCGUCUCGUGCCUCACCGGGAGAGCCCUGGAGUGGGCCAACGCCGUGUGGAGAGAGGGUGUCCGCCCUCGUCUCGUGCCUCACCGGGAGAGCCCUGGAGUGGGCCACCGCCGUGUGGAGAGAGGGUGUCCGCCCUCGUCUCGUGCCUCACCGGGAGAGCCCUGGAGUGGGCCAACGCCGUGUGGAGAGAGGGUGUCCGCCCUCGUCUCGUGCCUCACCGGGAGAGCCCUGGAGUGGGCCAACGCCGUGUGGAGAGAGGUGGGGGACCGGGAGCUGUUGGCUGUCGUAAAGGCCUUGAAUGCGUGGAGACAUUGGCUUGAGGGGGCUAAACACCCUUUUCUCAUCUGGACUGACCACCGAAAUCUGGAGUACAUCCGGGCAGCGAGGAGACUGAACCCUCGUCAGGCAAGGCCGGGGUGGCUGGCCUGCUCCAGGAGUCUGAGGUGCGGGAGGUUCCUCCGCCCCCUCUGGACAUCGAGGUGGCCCUGGUGUACUCCGUUCGCUCCAUACUGGAUUCGAGGCAUCGGGCGAGGGGCCUUCAGUAACUCGUGGAGUGGGAGGGGUGCAGUCCGGAGGAGAGGUGCUGGGUUCCGGUCGAGGACGUGUUGGACCCUUCAAUGCUGCAGGAGUUCCACCAUCUCCAUCCGGUUCACUCUGCGCCUCACCUUCCGGGUCAUCCCCAAGGGCGGUGUCGUCAAGCGGGGGCUACUGUCACGACUUCCACCGAAGUCGGUUCCUCUCCUUGCUCGGGCGGCGCUCGGCGUCGCCGGGCUUCUAGCCAUCAUCGAUCCACUUUUAAUUUUCCUUUUGUUUUGUCUCGUCUUCCCACACACCUGGUCUCAAUUCCCUCAUUACAUGUUGUGUAUUUAACCCUCUGUUCCCCCCAUGUCUUUGUGAGGAAUUGUUUAUUGUAAGUGCAUGUGCACGUUUUCUCUGGUGCACGACGGGUUUUGUACCCAUUUGUCUGUUGUUCUGGUUUCCGGUGGUUUUAUGAAUAAAACUUCUCUGUUGAUUACCCA
ensembl:lncRNA